rnacentral:rRNA from 1 species
AUUGAACGCUGGCGGCAGGCCUAACACGUGCAAGUCGAGCGGUAGCACAGAGAGCUUGCUCUCGGGUGACGAGCGGCGGACGGGUGAGUAAUGUCUGGGAAACUGCCUGAUGGAGGGGGAUAACUACUGGAAACGGUAGCUAAUACCGCAUAAUGUCGCAAGACCAAAGUGGGGGACCUUCGGGCCUCAUGCCAUCAGAUGUGCCCAGAUGGGAUUAGCUAGUAGGUGGGGUAAUGGCUCACCUAGGCGACGAUCCCUAGCUGGUCUGAGAGGAUGACCAGCCACACUGGAACUGAGACACGGUCCAGACUCCUACGGGAGGCAGCAGUGGGGAAUAUUGCACAAUGGGCGCAAGCCUGAUGCAGCCAUGCCGCGUGUGUGAAGAAGGCCUUCGGGUUGUAAAGCACUUUCAGCGGGGAGGAAGGCGAUAAGGUUAAUAACCUUGUCGAUUGACGUUACCCGCAGAAGAAGCACCGGCUAACUCCGUGCCAGCAGCCGCGGUAAUACGGAGGGUGCAAGCGUUAAUCGGAAUUACUGGGCGUAAAGCGCACGCAGGCGGUCUGUCAAGUCGGAUGUGAAAUCCCCGGGCUCAACCUGGGAACUGCAUUCGAAACUGGCAGGCUAGAGUCUUGUAGAGGGGGGUAGAAUUCCAGGUGUAGCGGUGAAAUGCGUAGAGAUCUGGAGGAAUACCGGUGGCGAAGGCGGCCCCCUGGACAAAGACUGACGCUCAGGUGCGAAAGCGUGGGGAGCAAACAGGAUUAGAUACCCUGGUAGUCCACGCCGUAAACGAUGUCGAUUUGGAGGUUGUGCCCUUGAGGCGUGGCUUCCGGAGCUAACGCGUUAAAUCGACCGCCUGGGGAGUACGGCCGCAAGGUUAAAACUCAAAUGAAUUGACGGGGGCCCGCACAAGCGGUGGAGCAUGUGGUUUAAUUCGAUGCAACGCGAAGAACCUUACCUGGUCUUGACAUCCACAGAACUUUCCAGAGAUGGAUUGGUGCCUUCGGGAACUGUGAGACAGGUGCUGCAUGGCUGUCGUCAGCUCGUGUUGUGAAAUGUUGGGUUAAGUCCCGCAACGAGCGCAACCCUUAUCCUUUGUUGCCAGCGGUUCGGCCGGGAACUCAAAGGAGACUGCCAGUGAUAAACUGGAGGAAGGUGGGGAUGACGUCAAGUCAUCAUGGCCCUUACGACCAGGGCUACACACGUGCUACAAUGGCAUAUACAAAGAGAAGCGACCUCGCGAGAGCAAGCGGACCUCAUAAAGUAUGUCGUAGUCCGGAUUGGAGUCUGCAACUCGACUCCAUGAAGUCGGAAUCGCUAGUAAUCGUAGAUCAGAAUGCUACGGUGAAUACGUUCCCGGGCCUUGUGCACACCGCCCGUCACACCAUGGGAGUGGGUUGCAAAAGAAGUAGGUAGCUUAACCUUCGGGAGGGCGCUUACCACUUUGUGAUUCAUGACUGGGGUGA